CCUCCCCUUCCUCCACCCCUCCCCCCACCCCGGGGUCUCCCCGCCUCCCUCCGCGCCAUGUCUCGGGGUGGCUGCUGCCCACACCUGCUGUGGGACGUGAGGAAGCGGUCCUUGGGGCUGGAGGACCCGUCCCGCCUGCGGAGCCGCUACCUGGGAAGAAGAGAAUUCAUCCAAAGAUUAAAACUUGAAGCAACACUGAAUGUGCAUGAUGGCUGUGUGAAUACAAUCUGUUGGAAUGACACUGGAGAAUAUAUUUUAUCUGGUUCAGAUGACACUAAUCUAGUAAUCAGUAAUCCCUACAGCCGAAAAGUCUUGACAACAAUUCGCUCAGGACACAGGGCAAAUAUAUUUAGUGCAAAAUUCUUACCCUGCACCAACGACAAACAGAUUGUAUCCUGUUCUGGAGAUGGAGUCAUUUUUUAUACUAAUGUCGAUCAAGAUGCAGAGACUAACAGACAAUGCCAAUUCACGUGCCAUUAUGGAACUACCUAUGAGAUUAUGACAGUACCAAAUGAUCCUUAUACUUUCCUUUCUUGUGGUGAAGAUGGGACUGUUAGGUGGUUUGAUACCCGCAUCAAGACGAGUUGUACAAAAGAAGAUUGCAAAGAUGAUAUCUUAAUUAACUGCCGGCGUGCUGCUACUUCUGUAGCCAUUUGUCCCCCAAUACCAUAUUACCUUGCUGUUGGCUGUUCUGAUAGCUCUGUACGAAUAUAUGAUCGGCGAAUGCUUGGCACAAGAGCCACAGGGAAUUAUGCAGGUCGUGGGACUACAGGAAUGGUGGCUCGUUUUGUUCCUCCUCAUCUUAAUAACAAAUCUUGUCGAGUUACGUCUCUGUGUUAUAGUGAAGAUGGUCAGGAAAUUCUGGUUAGUUAUUCCUCAGAUUACAUCUAUCUGUUUGACCCUAAAGAUGACACAGCACGAGAACUUAAAACCCCUUCUUCCGAGGAGAGGAGAGAAGAGUUACGACAGCCUCCAGUUAAACGUUUGAGACUUCGUGGUGACUGGUCAGAUACUGGACCGAGAGCUCGGCCUGAGAGUGAGCGAGAGCGAGAUGGAGAGCAAAGCCCUAAUGUAUCAUUGAUGCAGAGGAUGUCUGAUAUGUUAUCACGAUGGUUUGAAGAAGCUAGCGAAGUUGCUCAGAGCAACAGAGGACGGGGACGAUCUCGCUCUAGAGGAGGGACAAAUCAGUCAGAUGUUUCUACUGUUCCUACUGGCCAAUCAAGUGCUGAAUUAGAAAUGGGUGAGACUGCAAUGGAAGUGGACGCUCCUGCAGAACAGUUUCUUCAGUCAUCUUCAUCUUCUACUGUGUCAGCUCAGGCGCCUUCAACAUCAUCUUCCACAGAAAGCCCUCGUUCGACAUCUUUGCUUUCCUCUCCAGACACUGAACAGAGAUUAGCCUUAGAAGCUUCCGGGCACCAUACACAUCAUCAAUCUGAAUUUUUAAGGGGGCCUGAGAUAGCUCUGCUUCGUAAGGGCCUGCAACAACUGCGGCUUAAGAGAGCUGAGCAGCAGAGGCAACAAGAGCUAGCUGAGGCCGCAGCACGACAGCCUUCCACUUCCGAGCAGGCCUCCCCUGAGGGCUCCUCCCAGGGCCCUCAUCCUUCAGGUGAUUCUCCUUCUUCUGUGGUUAACAAACAGCUCGGAUCCAUGUCCCUUGAUGAGCAACAGGAUAACAGUAGUGAAAAGCUGAGCCCAAGACCAGGGGCAGGUGAGCCAGUUUUAAGUUUACACUACAGCACAGAAGGAACAACUACAAGCACAAUAAAACUGGACUUCACGGACGAGUGGAGCAGCACCGCCUCAAGUUCUAGAGGAAGUGGGAGCCACAGCAAACCUGAGGAGCAGGACGCAUCUCGGGGCCUCUCAAGCCCCUCACAGCCACAGCCACAGCUGCAGUCUCCAGGCGGGGAAGCCACAGCUCCUGAAGAGUCAUCAGAGGAGACCACAAAGACUCAGGAGUGCAGAUACUCAGAAGAAACAGUUCAGAAUCCCACAGAUACAGAUACAGUCUCUGAGCCUCUGGGAUGCCACUCAGAAGAAAAGAAUGACGCCAACCUUGACAACUCUUGCAAAGUUCCAGAAGAAUCUUCUCCAGAGGAAAAAUGUCAGGAGCAGGACCCUUCAGACCAGACCAGCCUGGAGGGAACUGCCCAUGCAGAGGGCACACAUGAUGAGCCUCAAGCCCAGACCGAACCCACAGGGCCACUUAUUCAUGAAGAAACAUUGACUCGAGGCUCCACUUUCCAAGAAACUGAUGACAGUGACGAUGAACCGGUCCUAAUCCCAGGUGCAAGAUAUCGAACAGGACCAGGGCAUAGAUUUAAUGUCAGAGGAACAGCAAUAGGUGAUAGAAUAAUGAGACGAUCUGCCGUUGCCCGAAUUCAAGAACUCUUCAGGCGGAGAAAAGAGAGGAAAGAGAUGGAAGAGUUGGACACUCUGAACAUUAGGAGGCCCCUAGUAAAGAUGGUUUAUAAGGGUCAUCGCAACUCCAGGACAAUGAUAAAAGAAGCCAACUUCUGGGGCACUAAUUUUGUAAUGAGUGGCUCCGAUUGUGGCCACAUCUUCAUUUGGGAUCGCCAUACUGCUGAGCACUUGAUGCUUUUGGAAGCUGAUAAUCAUGUUGUGAACUGCCUACAGCCACAUCCAUUCGAUCCAAUUUUAGCUUCAUCUGGCAUAGAUUAUGACAUAAAGAUUUGGUCACCCCUUGAAGAGUCCAAGAUUUUCAACCGAAAACUUGCUGAUGAAGUUAUAACUCGGAAUGAAUUAAUGCUGGAGGAGACUAGAAACACUAUUACUGUCCCAGCUUCUUUCAUGUUACGCAUGCUGGCCUCCUUGAAUCAUAUCCGAGCUGCACUGAAUAUUCCUCAAAUGAGUUGUAAAUUCUACCAGAAUAAACUGUCCAGCACCGUAUCAUUCACCAGCACCUGCUUUGUGCCAAACACUGUGCUAAGUUCUGAGAUAAGAAGAAAAGCAAAGACAGUCCCUGCCCUGAAGGAACUCACAGUACAGCAUGCAAAUCUGUGACUGUGUACAAACAGGAAACCUACAAUAUUAAUUGGAGGGGCUCUGAAGUGCGAUUGAAAAGAGAAAAUGUGUAAGGGCCUUCUUUUCUCAAAGAUACAGAAAGCUGAGUCAAAUUUAUAUGAAUGUGGCCAAGAAUGGAAGAUAAAGUAGGAAAGCAUUUCCGUUAUUUCUGCUUAGCCUUUGAACAUAUAUGGUACCACAUUUGGAUCUGGGAGGCCCUGAAGAAAACCUGACCUCCAGGACUGUAGAGCCAAAAAGGACAAAGUUGUGAGCCCCACCAUUGACUUGCACGGCCACUGGAUGAAUCACCAAUGUUCUACAUUUCAGUUCUCCCACAGGAAAAAGUGGGGGAGCCCACAGGAGAGAUCCUUGCUAUUUACCAUACUGUACAUCCAAAGACAUCUCUGCCCACUCAGAUCACCUGUGCAGGUGCUAAAUGCCUGCCUUAAGAAGGGUAAUCUUUUGGCAGGCAUGUGCUGACCUGCUUAAAGAUCUCACUGGAAUAUUAAAAUGAGUAAUAAAUGUGUUGACUACUUUGGGCGUGAA